rnacentral:lncRNA from 1 species
AUGGGAAUAUUAAGAAUGUGCAAAUGGAACUGGGAAAAGAUGGAAGUUAUACCUCCUUUAAUAUAUUGUGUUAAUGAAGCUGGAGGCCUGGCACUUCAUUUCUGUAACUGUUUAAACUCAACAAGUAACAGCUCCUCCUGUAAAGUUCUUUUGGUGACUGCCAAAUCUGGGAUUUUGGAAGUCCAGGGUCUGUAGUGACCUACAGAGAGUGGCAUGAGAUUUACAGGAUGAUGUGAAUCCUAAAGGGAAUAAAGUUUAUGCCCUAAAGGGCA